rnacentral:rRNA from 1 species
AUUUUUCACAAUGGGGGAAACCCUGAUGGAGCGACGCCGCGUGGGGGAUGAAUGGCUUCGGCCCGUAAACCCCUGUCAUUCGCGAACAAUGCCUGCGGUAUAACACAUCGCAGGUUGACAGUAGCGGAAGAGGAAGGGACGGCUAACUCUGUGCCAGCAGCCGCGGUAAUACAGAGGUCCCAAGCGUUGUUCGGAUUCACUGGGCGUAAAGGGUGCGUAGGCGGUCGGAUAAGUCUGAUGUGAAAUCUUCGAGCUCAACUCGGAAACUGCAUUGGAUACUAUUCGGCUUGAGGUCUGGAGGGGGGACUGGAAUUCUCGGUGUAGCAGUGAAAUGCGUAGAUAUCGAGAGGAACACCAGUGGCGAAGGCGAGUCCCUGGACAGGUCCUGACGCUGAGGCACGAAAGCUAGGGGAGCAAAC